rnacentral:rRNA from 1 species
CAAUAGCGUAUAUUUAAGUUGUUGCAGUUAAAAAGCUCGUAGUUGGAUUUCGGUUAAGAGCGACCGGUCCGCCGUUUGGUGUGCACUGGUUGGUUUUAACUUCCUGUAGAGGACGUGCUCUGGGUUUAACGACCUGGACUCGGAGUCUACGUGGUUACUUUGAAAAAAUUAGAGUGUUCAAAGCGGGCUUACGCUUGAAUAUUUCAGCAUGGAAUAACACUAUAGGACUCCUGUCCUAUCUCGUUGGUCUCGGGACGGGAGUAAUGAUUAAGAGGAACAGUUGGGGGCAUUCGUAUUUCAUUGUCAGAGGUGAAAUUCUUGGAUUUAUGAAAGACGAACUUCUGCGAAAGCAUUUGCCAAGGAUGUUUUCAUUAA